GAGAUUUGAUAGUUUUAAAAAUGUAAGUUUCUCUGCACAAGCUCUCUUUUUGCCUGCUGCCAUCCACGUAAGAUGUGACUUGCACCUCCUUGUCUUCUGCCACGAUUGUGAGGCUUCCCCAGCCAUGUGGAACUACAUCUACCCCUGGAGAAAGAGCCCAAUGAGAAGUAAUCUCUGAAGCCCAGAUUUCCUAAGGAUGAAGCUUCAGGAGAGGCCUUAUCAAUCCUGACAACAAACUUUUCUCGUCAAUUUAGUUUCAUUUAAUGGAAGUUUUAAAUGUGUAAAGUUCAGAAGGCUAUUAAAAUUGGUUCCAGCUAUCUAAGAUACACACACAACCACACACGCGCACACACGAAUACAAAUAUGCCUUCCCAAUCAUCUCCCAAAGUCUCAACUCAUUCCAGCGUUAACUCAAAGACCAAAAUUCAAAGUCUCAUCUGAAACAAGGUGUUGCCAAAGGAGAUUAUUAUUUGAGUCAGAGGACUGGGAGAAGCAGACCUACCCUCGAUCUGGGUGGGUGUCAUCUAGUCAGCUGCCAGUGUGGCUAGAAUGAAGCAGGCAGAAGUUGGAAAGAGCAGACCUGCUGAGUCUUCUGGCCCUCACCGUUCUCCCGUGCUGGAUUCUUCUGGCCCUCAAACAUCAGACUCCACGUUCUUCAGCUUUUGGACUCAUGGACUUACACCAGUGGUGUGCCAGGGCCUCUUGAGCCUUUGGUCACAGACUGAAGGCUACACUGUCAGCUUCUCUAAUUUUGAGGUUUUGGGACUCAGACUGAUCCACCACUGGCUUCCUUGCUCCUCAACUUGCAGAUGGCUUCUCACGGGACUUGACUUUAUGAUCAUACUUGGCCAAUAAGAUGUUCCUGCCUAAGACUUUGAAUCUGGAAUGGGGAACACAGAGAACAUGAGCAACGAAGAAUUAUUCACAGCACAGCACAGCAGUGCUGACAGCAUCGACAGUCCUGUGGUGCCAGCAAGAAUCCAAAAGAAGUGUCCUACAUAAAUUCCCUUAAUCACUGACCAUUUAAUGAGGCUGAUUCAGCCUCAUACAAAUUUUGUAUGCUUCUUCAUACAAUUUUUAAUUGUGCUGUAAAAGUUAACCAGAGACAAUUUCUGUUGCUUGCACACAGUAAGUUGACUAAGCAAAAAAAUUCAGGAGAGAUUAUUUUAUAGAAGUCAAUGCAAAUGCAUUAAUUUACAAGAAGUGAAACUGCAAGUUCACUUUGCUGCCUUAUGGCCAGCAUAUUCUCUUACAAGGGAAGUCUAUAUGGCAAUCUGUGUUAUGAUCAGAAGAUUUGGGAAAGAUGGAAUCUGUGAGAGAGUUUUAUGACACACGGUUACAACUGAUCACAGGAUCAAACACUAAAACUCCAAUAUAUAUAUUUAUUCUUAUUAGCAAAGCUUUUAUGCUAUGGAGGAAAAAGAAAAAGAAAUAAGAAAUUCUGAGUUUCUCUAAACUUCCAGUAUGUGGAUGAGUUAAAAACUAUGUCAUCUUGGAUUCCCCAUUUUAAAUAUUUCAUAAUAAUGCAUUAUAAUUGGUACAUGUUAAUAUCAAUUUUUUCUUUUGCUGUUUUUGAAGUGGUGUGAAUCACCUGUAACAAGGUUUCCUUAUCAUCCAUUUAAUUAUUGUCCUAUAAUAUACUUUUCAAUACAGCAACUACUUUUUAUGUUUUGGGAUUACUUUUACUAUUGUUAGAUAAAACCUAUGGUUGAUUGUGUGCCUCUAGAAGAACUUCAAAAGUACAAUAUAAAUCUUGCUAACAAU
ensembl:lncRNA LINC01697 long intergenic non-protein coding RNA 1697